AACCACAGCAAUUGACGUUACCCGCAGAAGAAGCACCGGCUAACUCCGUGCCAGCAGCCGCGGUAAUACGGAGGGUGCAAGCGUUAAUCGGAAUUACUGGGCGUAAAGCGCACGCAGGCGGUCUGUCAAGUCGGAUGUGAAAUCCCCGGGCUCAACCUGGGAACUGCAUUCGAAACUGGCAGGCUGGAGUCUUGUAGAGGGGGGUAGAAUUCCAGGUGUAGCGGUGAAAUGCGUAAAGAUCUGGAGGAAUACCGGUGGCGAAGGCGGCCCCCUGGACAAAGACUGACACUCAGGUGCGAAAGCGUGGGGAGCAAACAGGAUUAGAUACCCCGGUAGAGAU
rnacentral:rRNA from 1 species